rnacentral:rRNA from 1 species
CAAGCCUGAACCAGCCAUGCCGCGUGCAGGAAGACUGCCCUAUCGGGUUGUAAACUGCUUUAUACAGGAAGAAACACUACCCUCGUGAGGGAGCUUGACGGUACUGUAAGAAUAAGGAUCGGCGUAACUCCGUGCCAGCAGCCGCGGUAAUACGGAGGAUCCAAGCGUUAUCCGGAAUCAUUGGGUUUAAAGGGUCCGUAGGUGGAUUAGUAAGUCAGAGGUGAAAUCCUGCAGCUCAACUGUAGAACUGCCUUUGAUACUGCUAGUCUUGAGUCAUUAUGAAGUGGUUAGAAUGUGUAGUGUAGCGGUGAAAUGCAUAGAUAUUACACAGAAUACCGAUUGCGAAGGCAGAUCACUAAUAAUGUACUGACACUGAUGGACGAAAGCGUGGGGAGCGAACAGGAUUAGAUACCCUGGUAG